UUUAGCACUUUUCUCUCACGUCUGUUCCUGUUUCUUAUCUGUGCUAGAGAGCAGAGGCUCAGUGAGGACCAAGACAUGUGAUGAUAUGUGACUCACCUUCACCCGCUUUUCACUCAGGUGGCUUUUCCAUGGGAGACAGUUACAUGUGGCUUGCAUUAGCAGUUUAUGAGCCAGAGAAAAACAUGUACUCCAAAACUUUGCAGAAGACUUCCCAUUUUCUUUAUGUUAGAAACUGCCUUUCUGGAUUUAGAGGCCAAAGGCCAUCCCAUGUAUUAUGGAUUAUCAACCCUGUCUUGUUCUUUCAGUGCAGACAAUUUUCUGAGGAAGAAACAGGCCAAUGAUGAGCAUGCUUGGAUGAUCUUUCUAGUUAUAGAAGAGAUAGUAGAACUUGAGAAAAUAGACUGAUGUAGAGGAUGGAAGAUCCAACUUCAUCAGAAAUAAUCUUUUAUUGGAAAAUAAGAAGGCGGCAACAAUGAAGAGCUUAAUGAGUACUUUCUCUUAGGCAUGCAUUUUCUUUGAAGUGGUUACUUCGGUGGUCACAGAAUUUCUUAACAUAAAACUGGGGACUAAUGCAAGCAUAUUCUAUGCUCCAUUGACUUUUGAUCUGAGAAAAAAAGACACUAUUCAACUUUAAAUAAUCUUAUUUACUUACAGGCUGAACUCAAAUCUGGACUCAUGUUCUUCCCCAGACUGCUGAGGAAUAAAAUCUAUUUUGAGAGGUACCUGAGAAGUAAUGGAAAGCCCACUCUGAACACAGGAAUUGUUUAGUUUCAGCAUUUAUCAGGAGUUUUCUAUCACAGACCACAAGGUGCAUCCUUGUGCAGAAGCAAAUAGCAGCCUGAUUGGUUUCUUUAUGAGCUGAUGGUUUCCACUGCCUACUGACAGGCUUUGAAAUACAGAGCGCUAAUCACUGUGUAAGGACAUGCCAAUUUCAUCUUGACAUAAAGCAUAAAUUGCAUAAAUUCAGCCUAUAUAGAGAGUUGAUAAUGUAAGUGAAUUAGUGGAGUAUGGAUUGUUGAAGCAUAAGGAGACUAAUGAACUAUUAGCCACAGACAGAAAUGUUAUCCCAGACAAAAAAAAAUAAACAUUAGUAUGCAAUCAGUACGGAAUGACCAAUUGCUGCUAGUAGGGUCUAUAAUUCUGUACCUGUCAGAAUAGUCAAAAAGAGUUUGUUAAACCAAAAUGUUCAAACCUAGAAUUUUACAUUUUAUUUAUAUUCUUGUACUUUCAGCAUUCCAUUCAAGCAAAUAAGUCAAUUUUUUUUAAUAAUGAACUUAUAGUUUUACCUGUUGAUUAUCUGUACCUCAGCUUGUUCUGUUUUUCUCUUUUCAGGUAGUAAGCUAUCCAGUACAUAACUUUCAUGAGUUGAAGGCUGUACUUAAAGAGUUGUCAGCCCCUUAAGAUGCCAUAAGUGAGUGUGAAGCCUCCCCCAUAAUCAGCUCUUGCCUCGAACUGGCUAAAAACCAGCUGGCUGAGCUAGUAUAUCCAAAACAGAUAUGCUGCUAACAGAAAAAGCCCCUGAGCUAUUCUGUUACUACAUACGAGCACCAUCAUUUAAAAACAAAUCCCCAAAUCAUCUAUUAGUCUACACUGGUUUUUGAUAGCCCAAUAACCACAAAAUAGGGGCCACCUUCCCAGUAGAUUGUGCUGUAUCUUUACUGGAUUUGACAGUUUGCCCCAGUUCACUUAGGAUGACAAAUAAACAUUUUACCCUCUCCUUGACCAGCACACAGAAAAUUUAUCUCACUUAUGUCCUGACAGUUGUGAGCAGCCAACCAGUGAGGUGGCUCAUGAAGAGAUAUCAUACAAGGGAGAACAUCCUAUAGAAGGUAUCACUAGGUGCAUUAAUGACCACAGACAUCACCAUUUUGAAGUUCACAGCCUGCCUCUGCAUCAGAAGGAGGCGAACAUUCGUCCAAAGGCAACAGAAUACAAAAACUCAGCCAGAAGAUUUUGCUGACAGGAACAAGUUACUAAUAUCAGUUCUGCUCAGGGAAGAGAGAUGAGAGCAUCUGGAUGAACUUCCUCGAUCAUCUCUUCCUAGCUUGCAAGAACAGCUAGCUUCUAAAUUUUUGUGAGGCUGAAUGACUGUUAUGAUCUCAUCAAUCUUAGCAUGCUUCCUUCCACAUUAGGAUGGCUUGAGCAUGAGGGAUGAAAGGGGAUAACUGCUAACAGUAUCUUCAAAAGGACACGAGGUUUUCGUUAGACAUAAUAGUCCCAAGGGAGAAAGAGGAAUCAAGUAACUGUGAAAAGUACCAGUCAGAAAUGGACAAACUUAGCUGCUGUGAGGGGCUGAACGUGGAGCUGGGAACACCCAUCCCCACCAGAGCAAGGAAACACCACCUCCACAGCUGUACUCCCAUAGGGCCACUAGGACCAGGCAAAUUACGUGGGGUCAGAAGCUCAUAGGGUUUGGGCUAAGGACUAUAACCUCAGCAACUGCUGGCUCUGCCUUCUCUCUGUACAUACAGGGAAUGGAAACCCUUCACACCACAAACUAUUUGCAACUGCAGCUGCUACGUAUUCAUAACAAAUGUCUGAUUGCUAAAAUUGUGUGCUGUAAGCAGUGUCAUCUUUCGUGUCGCAUAGGGACAACUAUGUAUUCUCCUCUGUGGCUGGGAUACUGAGCUGUCACUCUGGAGUCAUCCAGACUCCUGGGCCAGGAGCUGCUAUUAACUAAGCAGGAAGGUCAGGCCCCUGCGGAUGCCUCCUUUUACCCAGGGGCUGGAUUCUAACGCUAUAGGCAUUACCAGACCUUAUAGAUUAUGGAUAGCUUCCAGAGCCAGAUAGCUGUGCCUGCUGCCUCACUGCAUCACAGUCAUUUGCAGCCAGAACUGCAAACCACCCAAAAAACCUCUAGAGUGUACAGCGGUCAGAGUGCAGGCUGGUUACAAAGUGAUGCCUUCCAUGCUUCAGGCCUGGUACAUUCACGUGUGCUGAUCCCUGCACUGCGUGGGAUCCAGAGCCCUUGGCACACUUCACUCCAAGCACAAGUGGGUGGUUGCACAGUUGUUCUGAUCAUGUGUCAUGUUCAGGCACAUGCUGGAUGUCCUGGACUUAAUAAAACAUUUGGAACCAUGUUGCUGCAUGCACAGUGACAACUUGGCUGCGAUUUCCUGGUGCUUAUCAGCCAACUAACUGGGAGGUUUCCUCCUGAAGCAGUAGUCUGUCACACACGGUAACCAAAUCUCAUUGUCCGUCUUUCAUCUUUCUCAAGCUCCAAAUCUAGGUUUGAUGGUCAGUUUUGAACUCAGAACCAAAGGCUCCUUCAGAUGAGAAGGAAGCAUCACUUGGUUUCUCUGCUUUGUGGCGUAAAAAAUACCGGAGCCCAACUCUACUCCUGUGAAUGGAUGGACACACUGCAUUAUGCAGCAUCUAACUUUAAAAGUUUCUGGAAUAAUUUUUAAAAUGAAGAGAACUCCCACAAGAUUUCCUUCUUGUUUACAGGACAAACGCUCCCAUAAAAUAAAUUCAGCAGCCAAGGGGAGUGGUGGGGGAAGCUGAGCAGCACUCAUCCUUAAUUUGACUAGCAGCCACAUCAGAUGAAAAUGCUCCUAGUGUAUAUGAUGUGUUGUUGUUCCAACUGCGGUCUGUGUGUUGAUGACCAGAUGGACCAGAGCAAGCUUGUGCUGUGGGAUCAGUGCGAAGAGGCACAGCAAGGUCUGUUAUCAGAUAAGAGAUAUCUUCUCCUGAAAUGGAGUUUAAUUAAGACACGUAGAGGAUCUGAAGUAUGGCUUUCAUGCACAUGGGAAGGAUCCUUCCCCAUUGAUGAUGGUGCUGAAUCUGCAUUUGUGAAUGUUCUGAACAGAUCAUGUUAGGCGGGAAUGAAAUUCAUUCACAAUUACAUUUCAGAAAUUGACACAACAUGAUUCAGCAUGAAUAGUGCUAUACUAAAAAUAGAAGAAAUGGUGGCUAUGGAAACCACACAUUACUCUUAGCUAUUCCUCUACUAUUCCUUUUCUAUGUUUCUCUUACAGUCUUUCUAACAGUUCAAGUGAGCUUCUAAUCCACAAUACCAUAUUCCAGCAUUCUACACUCUUCUAAUUAAAUCCCUUCUUACCUUACAUCAUUUAUAUUCUGCAUCUCUCACCUACAUAUUUGGAACCAUUUGAGGAAUAGUAAAUAUGUUCAUACCACAACACAAAAGACAUACAUCCACAGGGCUGCAGCCUGUGGGUAAUUCUGAUAUUAAUUUACCAAUCACAGUGUUCUCCUUUAUGACAGCAUGAUUUUAUGUAAUCUAUUAACAUUCAUACCAUAGAUUCUUAAAGCAUUUGGAAUCACCUCUACUUGUGGAUUAUUUUCAUAGAUCAGUGUAACAGCUUAUGAGAAUACUGAGAUGCUAUUGACCAUCCAAACACAGCAUAAAGAUGUUCAUCACAGAUAUUUAGACUCAUUACAAACUUUACAAGACACCCCUGUCUCCUUUUGUUUUAAAUCCCUAGCACCCCCGCACACUGCUAGCAAGCUGUGCUGAACCCACAGGUGUUCCUGCUUAGGAUGCCCACCUGCUGCUCUCCUGGCAGGCAGCGAAAAAGAGGAGGGUAGGGGACAGGUGGGUUGUAUGGAGCGAUCAGCCAGAGAGGAAGUAGCUCUGGGUUUUCAUAGUUACAGUAGUAACCUUCUUACAUCUGAGCUGAAGUAAGUGCUGUCUUUGUUUUGAGCUCUGGUUGAGGGAGAACUUCAUGGGUUGUUUCCUUUGUUAUGUGUCUAAUGGUCAUGUAUAACAGUGCCCCAAAGGAGAUGUGCUUUGAGGUUAUUUCCUGCAUGAGCUGAGAUGUUUUGUGUUUGUAUUUUGUUCUUCAACUUAUUGCCUUUCCCCAGUUUGAUGGUGUAUGGGAACUGCUGAGUCACGGCCUGAACCUCUGAUUGAUCACCUGAAGCGAGCCAUGAGUCAGCCAGAGGAGCACAGGUGAAGGCAAUUCACCUGUGCUGCCAGAAGGGGUGGAGCCUGGCUCCACCCCUCCUAGACCUAUUUAAGAGCUGGCUACCAGAGGCAAAGGAUCUCUUCUGGAGAUCACUUCUCUUGGUGUCUUCUGGUGAGCUCAGCCGAAGGGAACAGUCCUGUAAGUGGGAUGGAAGAAAAGAACCCUACAUGCUCUUUUUGAUGGAUCUGCCUUUCUCUGCUGCAGCCUUCUGUAAAAGCCCUGUGUUCACAGUCCAGCCUGGUGGCUGGGCACCUUUGCCAUGCUCCUGAGGGGAAGAAGGGAGAAGUGCUCCUUGUGUUCUGCAGAUCCAAGUGUGGUAGAACCUCAGCAGGGUAGGUUCUGCCUGCUCCUCAUGAAGCUCCAGCAGCUGUGUCCCUGGGCAGGCAGCCUGCCAGCAGUGGUUUCCUGGAUACGUGUCGCUGCAGCUCGUUAUAAGGAGGAUGAAUAAGAGUAACUGUGCUGAUUUCAUCAUUUCCUUCACCUCCUUCAUUUCCUUCACAUCCUGCACCUUCAAAGAAAGCAAUUUGGGAUGGGGAAAACUGUAUGUUUCAGAUACUUGGUUUAACAUGUAGGCUGUCAUAAAUGUUAAUAAAUGUAACUGUUAGAAAUCAUGAAUCCCAUGUUGGAGCCAGAUGAUACAGGAGGUCUCUCUGCACAGGCUGUGGAAUUUCUGUACUUUCCACAAGCACAUCUGGGUAGGCUUGGACAUCCCAUCUUUCUAGAUAUUUUUUUUUUCAAAUUUUAUUAAUCGAUUGCUUGCUCUGACAGAGCUUAUUCACUUAAACUUCCAUGUGUGCAUGCCAAUUUGGCAGCAACAGUGAGAUUUAAGAGCAUCUUGCUUGGGGGAGGGGUAAAGGGUGACAUGCUAAUUUCUAAGUGUUUUGUUCUUGAAUAGUAAAGGCAUGUGACAGCCAUAGCUGGCUGUGGGCUCUGUGUGUGGAGAUUUGUCUGCAAAGCAGUGGCUGAAGAACAACCUGGGCACUCUUUGCAAUCCCACUUUGAGAAGGCAUGUUCUCUAGCCCUAGUUCUCUUGCUAGAGAGAGAUCCUAGAGCUGUGUCUUCACUUAGAAGAAAAGCAGGGCACUCAAAAGCAGAUGUAGGAUUUCUCCAUGCAGUAUUGAGGAAGGCAAACAGUGAAUGCUGAGAUCAGUGAUGGUAGGAUCUUCCACCUCAACUGCCAUUCAGUUUAUACCUUGGGAGCAAAGAGCUAUUUUCUUUUAAUGGAUAUAAUGUACCCCCAGCUUAUGCUGUAAGAGGAUAAAGCAAUCUCAACAUGACCUUGGCAGGUUUGCAUAUACCCUAGGGUGAGAGAGUCUAGACUUCGUAUCUACCCUGAACAUCUUCAUGCAUAACUACGUACCCUGAAUGCUAGCAUGUGAGGAGCACAGCUCUGGGGGCACCUUAGUGCCACCUGCAAGUGUGGUACGGCUGAAUCACCUCUCAGUAAUGCAGGCUGCCUUUGUCUGGAAUUGGGUUAUUGUCUUGCAAGUGUGAGUUUGUAUGACUUGAAGUAAAAAGGCAAAAGAUGAGGCAGAAUAUUACAUGUGCUUGUGCAAGCACUGCCCUGAGGAAGGCAAAGUUCCUGAGAUACUCCAAUUUCUCUGUUUAUCCAGAGGCUGUACCUAGCAGUGGGUACCAAUCCAGAGUCACCACAAAUGUAUGACCAAGAAGGCUAAAGACUGGUAGCAAGGACAAACGGACCAAGUGCCUCGCCACUCUUCUGUUUUUAGAUGUAGAUGGACCAAAGGACCAAACUGGAUGUGUUUGAGAUGUGCUGGUCUGGUGCUUCCAUAAUGGGAUGGGCUAUGUCUCCCACAGAGGAGUUAUGGGGAAGAAGUGGUGCAUGUGAUAGGUAACAGAUGUACUGACUAAUCUAGUUGGAGUUCACUGUGAAUAGUAUCUAAAAAAUCUGAUGCUUGGUGGUUGUCUUCCCAACCCCCAGGGGAAACUGGACUCUUCAAGAACUUCAGAAAUCUAUCCUCAGCUUUGAAGAAACUUUAGCUUUCCUUUGUGAUAGUGCUCACCCAGCUUUGGCUGUGGGCCAGGGAAUCUGCAGGCUCAUGCUUGAAUCCAAAUAGUAUUGCCUGGUAGUUUAAUUUUCUGCCACUGCAGGCCUGCAGAUAGCUGUUUGGAUCCAGUCAUCUGCAGGAAAAUGCCUUACAGAGUAUCUUUGAAGAGCUAAGCUGGUACCCUGUGGUGCUGCUGUUUGACAUGAAAGAAUUGCACCAAUGGCUUUGGGGGGCAGUUUGACAUGAAAACUCUUGGCAAGUGAGAACUGUAUUAUUAGCUCAGUGAGUGGAGAAGAUGCUGAAGGCUGAGGAGUUGAGGGAAUUUCUAGCAGCAGUGCUCAAAAUGCUCAGGCCUCCCAGCAGGCUGGGCCUGCUGGUCUUGGCACCCUAGGAGCAAAAACUCAAGGCCUGUUCCUUCUGGACUGAGGACCCCAUGUCUCUGCCAGCAGAGAAGAGGGAAAGGAGCUCCUAGAACAGCCACUGGAGAACUGCUCAGGUUCUACCAAGGCUCUGCUGUGCUGUGGUUGAAUACUUGUUUGGUUAGCAGCCUUGAGGAUGUGAAGCAGUUCAGCCUUGCAAUUUGUUAAAACAACAGUCAUCUUGUGAACAGAGCCUGAAGUACUGCAUAGCAAGUGAGGCCUCUGCAAGGAUGGGAGUGAUCCUCUCGCUGCACCCACAGUUAACAUUGCUAAUGCUUCUGCAGCAUCUCGUUACUUAUAGGCACAAAAUCCCCAGUAGUUUUCCUAUUUGUUUCAGGCAUUAGAGGGAUGUGGUAUCACUUCUAAUAAGAGAAGAUGCUGCAACUGUGUUUCG